AUUGAACGCUGGCGGCAUGCUUUACACAUGCAAGUCGAACGGUAACAGGCCGCAAGGUGCUGACGAGUGGCGAACGGGUGAGUAAUGCAUCGGAACGUGCCCAGUCGUGGGGGAUAACGCAGCGAAAGCUGCGCUAAUACCGCAUACGAUCUAUGGAUGAAAGCGGGGGACCGUAAGGCCUCGCGCGAUUGGAGCGGCCGAUGGCAGAUUAGGUAGUUGGUGGGGUAAAGGCUCACCAAGCCAACGAUCUGUAGCUGGUCUGAGAGGACGACCAGCCACACUGGGACUGAGACACGGCCCAGACUCCUACGGGAGGCAGCAGUGGGGAAUUUUGGACAAUGGGCGCAAGCCUGAUCCAGCAAUGCCGCGUGCAGGAAGAAGGCCUUCGGGUUGUAAACUGCUUUUGUACGGAACGAGACGGUCCUGGUUAAUACCUGGGGCUAAUGACGGUACCGUAAGAAUAAGCACCGGCUAACUACGUGCCAGCAGCCGCCGCCGUAA
rnacentral:rRNA from 1 species